rnacentral:rRNA from 1 species
ACUACGGGAGGCAGCAGUCGAGAAUCAUUCACAAUGGGGGAAACCCUGAUGGUGCGACGCCGCGUGGGGGAAUGAAGGUCUUCGGAUUGUAAACCCCUGUCAUGUGGGAGCAAAUUAAAAAGAUAGUACCACACGAGGAAGAGACGGCUAACUCUGUGCCAGCAGCCGCGGUAAUACAGAGGUCUCAAUCGUUGUUCGGAAUCACUGGGCGUAAAGCGUGCGUAGGCUGUUUCGUAAGUCGUGUGUGAAAUGCGAAGGCUCAACCCGCGGACGGCAUAUGAUACUGCGCGACUAGAGAAGUGGAGGGGGAACCGGAAUGCUUGGUGUAGCAGUGAAAUGCGUAGAUAUCGAGAGGAACACUCGUGGCGAAGGCGGGUUCCUGGACAUUAACUGACGCUGAGGCACGAAGGCCAGGGGAGCGAAAGGGAUUAGAUACCCGUGUAGUC